UGCGCCGCAACAGUCAAGCCGUUGUGCUCGGCAGUAACGCAGCGCUGCGGACGCAGCACCGGCUCGAACGCAUUUCGCUACAAAGACGGAGAACAAUGUCGUGAAUUUCGCUGCCACCGCUUCCUGCCGACCCAAGACAUCUGGGAUGAAACCACUUCCUAGCGACUAAAUAAGCCACUAGCAAGGUAA